rnacentral:rRNA from 1 species
AGUUCGAUUAUGAAACUCAGAUUGAACGCUGGCGGGAUGCUUUACACAUGCAAGUCGAACGGCAGCACGGACUUCGGCCCGGUCUGGUGGCGAGUGGCGAACGGGUGAGUAAUGUAUCGGAACGUGCCUAGUAGCGGGGGAUAACUACGCAGAAAGCGUAGCUAAUACCACGCGCCCUUCGGGGGAAAGCGGGGGACCUUCGGGCCUCACGCUAUUGAAGCGGCCGAUAUCGGAUUAGCUAGUUGGUGGGGUAACGGCUCACCGAAGGCGACGAUCCAGCUGGUUUGAGAGGACGACCGAGCCACACUGGGACUGAGACACGGCCCAGACUCCUACGGGAGGCAGCAGUGGGGAAUUUUGGACAAUGGGGAAACCUGAUCCAGCCAUCCCGCGUGUGCGAUGAAGGCCUUCGGGUUGUAAAGCACUUUUGGCAGGAAAGAAACGGCACGGGAUAAUACCCCGUGCAACUGACGUACCUGCAGAAUAAGCACCGGCUAACUACGUGCCAGCAGCCGCGGUAGCCGUAGGGUGCAAGCGUUAAUCGGAAUUACUGGGCGUAAAAGCGUUGAAGCGGUUCGGAAAGAAAAGAUGUGAAAUCCCAGAGCUUAACUUUGGAACUGCAUUUUUAACUACCGAGCUAGAGUGUGUGUCAGAAGGAGGUGGAAUUCCGCGUGUAGCAGUGAAAUGCGUGAGUGCGGACACCGAUGGCGAAGGCAGCCUCCUGGGAUAACACUGACGCUCAUGCACGAAAGCGGUAGGAAUUGACGGGAUUGAAUGCCUGGUACAGUGCGCUAAACGAUGUCAACUGGCUAUUGCAGGGCCUUCGGGCCUUGGUAGCGCAGCUAACGCGUGAAGUUGACCGCCUGGGGAAGUACGAUCGCAGAUUAAAACUCAAAAGAGGUGACGGGGACCCGCAGCGGUGGAUGAUGUGGAUUAAUUCGAUGCAACGCGAAAAACCUUACCUACCCUUGACAUCAUCUGCCGGAAUCCCGAAGAGAUUUGGGAGUGCUCGCAAGAGAACCGGAACACAGGUGCUGCAUGGCUGUCGUCAGCUCGUGUCGUGAGAUGUUGGGUUAAAUCCGCAACGAGCGCAACCCUUGUCAUUAGUUGCUACCGGGGGCACUCUAAUGAGACUGCCGGUGACAAACCGGAGGAAGGUGGGGAUGACGUCGGAGUCCUCAUGGCCCAUAUGGGUAGACCACACGUCCUUCACAAUGGUCGGGACAGAGGGUCGCCAACCCGAGGGAGCCAAUCAGAAACCCGAUCGUAGUCCGGAUCGCAGUCUACAACUCGACUGCGUGAAGUCGAAUCGCUAGUAAUCGCGGAUCAGCAUGUCGCGGUGAAUACGUUCCCGGGGUCUUGCUUACACCGCCGUCACACCAUGGGAGUGGGUUUACCAGUAGUUAGCCUAACCGUAAGGAGGGCGAUUGCAAUAGGAUUCAUGACUGGGGUGAAGUCGUAACAAGGUAA